AUGGAGUCCGACUCCUCUUUUUCUCUCCGCACGCAACCUCUCCUUUCCUCUUCUCCUAGGGUUGUGCCGCCGCCGCAACCCAUGCCAGCUACUCUGACGCCAUCCACUAGAGAAAGCAUCCUCCCCAGAUCUGCUUCUCCCCCAAACCAUCUCAUCUUCUUAUUCCACCCGGUCACCAUGAUUGUUGCAGAGGAGGAGGAGGAAGGGGAUGGCAAAAUCUCGGGAGAGAAAAAACCCGGCAAGCAAGCGAGAAGGAUGUCAUGGCAGACGUACAUUGACGAGCCGCUGCUCUGCGACAUCGACGGCCAGCGCCUCACCGCCGCCCCAUCUCGGCCACGACGGCGCUGCCUGGGCACAAUCCGAGUCCUUCCCCGAGCAGGUCAAACCUAA
rnacentral:rRNA from 1 species